UACGGAGGGGGGCUAGCGUUGUUCGGAAUUACUGGGCGUAAAGCGCGCGUAGGCGGCUUUGUAAGUUAGAGGUGAAAGCCCGGAGCUCAACUCCGGAAUAGCCUUUAAGACUGCAUCGCUAGAACGUUGGAGAGGUAAGUGGAAUUCCGAGUGUAGAGGUGAAAUUCGUAGAUAUUCGGAAGAACACCAGUGGCGAAGGCGACU
rnacentral:rRNA from 1 species